UACGGAAGGUCCAAGCGUUAAUCGGAAUUACUGGGCGUAAAGCGCGCGUAGGUGGUUUAUUAAGUUGGGUGUGAAAGCCCCGGGCUCAACCUGGGAACUGCAUCCAAAACUGAUUCACUAGAGUACGAAAGAGGGAGGUAGAAUUCACAGUGUAGCGGUGGAAUGCGUAGAUAUUGUGAAGAAUACCAAUGGCGAAGGCAGCCUCCUGGUUCUGUACUGACACUGAGGUGCGAAAGCGUGGGUAGCGAACAGGAUUAGAUACCCUGGUAGUCCACGCCGUAAACGAUGACAACCAGCUGUUGGGAAGCAAUGCUUUUCAGUGGCGCAGCUAACGUCUUAAGUUGUCCGCCUGGGGAGUACGGCCGCAAGGUUAAAACUCAAAUGAAUUGACGGGGACCCGCACAAGCGGUGGAGCAUGUGGUUUAAUUCGAUGCAACGCGAAAAACCUUACCUACUCUUGACAUCCUUGGAAUCUCUUGUAAUGAGAGAGUGCCUUUUGGAACCAAGUGACAGGUGCUGCAUGGCUGUCGUCAGCUCGUGUCGUGAGAUGUUCCGUUAAGUCGGAUAACGAGCGCAACCCUUACCCUUAUUUGCCAGCGGUUCGGCCGGGAACUAUAAGGGGACUGCCGGUGAUAGACCGGAGGAAGGUGAGGACGACGUCAAGUCAUCAUGGCCCUUACGAGUAGGGCUACACACGUGCUACAAUGGGAAGUACAGAGGGACGCCAAAGCGCGAGCUGGAGCUAAUCUCAUAAAACUUUUCGUAGUCCGGAUUGCAGUCUGCAACUCGACUGCAUGAAGUCGGAAUCGCUAGUAAUCGCGGAUCAGCACGCCGCGGUGAAUACGUUCUCGGGUCU
rnacentral:rRNA from 1 species